rnacentral:rRNA from 1 species
CCUACGGGAGGCAGCAGUGGGGGAUAUUGCACAAUGGGGGGAACCCUGAUGCAGCGACGCCGCGUGGGUGAAGAAGCGCCUCGGCGCGUAAAGCUCUGUCAGCAGGGAAGAAAAUGACGGUACCUGAAGAAGAAGCCCCGGCUAACUACGUGCCAGCAGCCGCGGUAAUAAGUAGGGGGCAAGCGUUAUCCGGAUUUACUGGGUGUAAAGGGGGCGUAGACGGCGAUGCAAGCCAGGAGUGAAAUCCCGGGGCCGAACCGCGGGACUGCUGUUGGAACUGCGUGGCUGGAGUGCAGGAGGGGCAGGCGGAAUUCCUAGUGUAGCGGUGAAAUGCGUAGAUAUCAGGAGGAACACCGGUGGCGAAGGCGGCCUACUGGACUGCAACUGACGUUGAGGCCCGAAAGCGUGGGGAGCAAACAGGAUUAGAUACCCCUGUAGUC